AAUCACUAAUUUGACCUGUGUUUGUCAGGGACAUACUGCUGGCUUCCAGGUCUCAGAAAUUGGGUAAGAACGUUUCACAGGGGGAAAUUUGGCUUUGUAAUAAUGGUCUUUGUAAAAUUUUUUGUACUAUAUGAAAUGUGAAUAAUAUAUUCUCCUGACAACUCUAUCCACUACUCACCUUCAUUUUCUUUACAAAUUACUUAAUAUAGAGAUAGAAAAAUUCAAUUGUGAUUCAAAUAUUAUUGAUUGUUCCAUUAAAAUGCUAUCCUUUAAUGAGUUCAAUCUUAGAAAUAUUGGUUAAUGUGUUCCAAAGUUAGUCAACUCUAUCAGUGCACUUCUUGGCUUACAAGACUUGUUGGUUGCUUUGUGUUACCUUGGUGACUCAGCUGGUGUUUCUCUGGCCUGUGUUCUAUGAUUGAUGGUGCUGGGUUAAUUUCUGUCUGUGGGUUAAUUUGUGUCUCCCCACUCACCUGCUUCUGCCUUUUGCUGCUUCUCAAUCUUCUCCAGGCGCCCCAGCAAGGAGUCAAUUUUGGUUUUGAUCUGAGUUAAUUCUUUCUUGAUUGUCUGUAACUCAUCUGAUUUCACUGGAAGGGGAAAGUGGAAAGAAAACAAGAGAUCAAAUGGACCACUUAGAAUACAAUUCAAGACACAGUGCUUCUCAAGAUUGCCUUAGAGGAUUUCCAGUGAAUCAUCAGCUUCCUGUCACACUCAUCCUGAAAUAGUACAUGGAUUUCUAAUUAGAAAUAAGGAUUCUCAGGGACAUGAGACUCUGAUGCUCAAUGUUCUAACUGAAGGUCACGUGAAAGGAUAGAGAAUCUGAAAACAUUUCAACAGAAUAGUGCAGGGUCUCCACUUCCUCACGUAAGUAAGAGAAUAUGCCUUCAUAAAAUUCCAAUUUAAAACUGACUUGGCUUAAGGAUUAGUGAUAUCUGUGUUACUACUACUUUGAAUUACCAUGUCCUGAAAUACAUAUUUUGUAUGCCUUGAUAUUGAGAAGUGCACUUCUCCAUUGCCGAGCACUAAUGGCUAGACAUCAGUGAUAAUUUUAAGACAGAUCUUUUAGUUAUAACUGAAAUAAAAAUAUCAUACAUGUCAUCGAUAGAGUCUGAUAUUUCCUGAGCCCUUUCUAAAAAUAAAGUGACAGAUUGAACAUAACCUAUUCUUAAGCCAUGGAAGGGAAACACACAGAUCAUCCUUCUGACGAUUUUUACCUGAAUUUAAUUUGUGGUUUAUUUAUGUAUAUAUCUUGAGAUAAGGUAUUAUUGUGUUCUCAAGGUGUCCUUGAAUGCACCAUCCUUUGGCUUCAGUUUUUAGAGUGCAGGAAUUACAGACAUAUGACACCAUAUACCAUCUUACUGAUAUAUGUACAACAAUUUGUUCCAAUUCUAGCUUUUUAGAAUUUGAUCUGAUUUUAAAGAAAAGAUAGGGCCAGUUAUGAAUGGCAAAUAUUCCUUUUUAAAGAAGCAUUUCAAAAUACAACAAAUAUGUGUUGGGAUUUAACUCAGUGGUUGAAUGUUGCAAGCAAAUGGCUCCAGGUUUGGUCCACAGC
rnacentral:lncRNA from 1 species